GGCUUUGUGCAGUGGCUGUAUCAUCGCCUGUGAGGUUUGUCCAAGGCGUGAUUAUUGCUAAUUGAAAACUUAUCCCAGUGCUCCACUGUGAUGACUUGAAAUACAGCCGUCUUUGGUGAUUUUUGAUGCUCUCUCUGGAGA